rnacentral:rRNA from 1 species
AGAUUGAACGCUGGCGGCAUGCCUUACACAUGCAAGUCGAACGGCAGCACGGGAGCAAUCCUGGUGGCGAGUGGCGAACGGGUGAGUAAUAUAUCGGAACGUGCCCAGUCGUGGGGGAUAACGCAGCGAAAGCUGUGCUAAUACCGCAUACGAUCUAUGGAUGAAAGCGGGGGAUCGCAAGACCUCGCGCGAUUGGAGCGGCCGAUAUCAGAUUAGCUAGUUGGUGGGUAAAAGCCUACCAAGGCGACGAUCUGUAGCUGGUCUGAGAGGACGACCAGCCACACUGGAACUGAGACACGGUCCAGACUCCUACGGGAGGCAGCAGGUGGGGUAAGUUUUGGACAAGUGGGCGCAAGCCUGAUCAGCAAUGCCGCGUGCAGAGUGAAGUCCGUU